UACGUAGGUGGCAAGCGUUGUCCGGAAUUAUUGGGCGUAAAGCGCGCGCAGGCGGUCCUUUAAGUCUGAUGUGAAAGCCCACGGCUCAACCGUGGAGGGUCAUUGGAAACUGGGGGACUUGAGUGCAGAAGAGGAAAGUGGAAUUCCAAGUGUAGCGGUGAAAUGCGUAGAGAUUUGGAGGAACACCAGUGGCGAAGGCGACUUUCUGAUCUGUAACUGACGCUGAGGCGCGAAAAGCGUGGGGAGCAAACAGGG
rnacentral:rRNA from 1 species